AUUGAACGCUGGCGGCAGGCCUAACACAUGCAAGUCGAGCGGAGCGGCGGACGGGUGCGUAAUGCCUAGGAAUCUGCCUGGUAGUGGGGGAUAACGUCCGGAAACGGGCGCUAAUACCGCAUCCUAUCAGCUGAGCAUAGGCCGGAUUGGCAAGUUUGUGGGGUAAAGGCCUACCACGGCGAAGAUCCGUAACUGGUCUGAGAGGAUGAUCAGUCACACUGGAACUGAGACACGGUCCAGACUCCUACGGGAGGCAGCAGUGGGGAAUAUUGGACAAUGGGCGAAAGCCUGAUCCAGCCAUGCCGCGUGUGUGAAGAAGGUCUUCGGGUUGUAAAGCACUUUAAGUUGGGAGGCGUUACCAACAGAAUAAGCACCGGCUAACUUCGUGCCAGCAGCCGCGGUAAUAC
rnacentral:rRNA from 1 species